GAGCACCUUCAGCACCAAACCCUCAGCACGAUCCUGACGGGAAAAAGGGAACGUGAAGGCCAAGUCAUGUACUCCAGACGUCCGUCUCCCCAGCAACGCUUCCAGACUCCUCCUGGGUGACCAAGAGGAGUUCCCAGGUCACAUGAGAUAUGUAAUCCCUCCAGCUUGUUCUGGUUUUCGCUCAAGGCCUUCUACCAGUUGAACGUGCCUAGAAUAUCUUACUGAACAAAACACGCUUUUUGACGAGGACACCAGGGCAACGCUUACAUCAAGAUUGGCUGACAGAAAAACAUCAUUUCCAGGG